AGAGUUUGAUCCUGGCUCAGAAUCAACGCUGGCGGCGUGCCUCAGACAUGCAAGUCGAACGAUUAAAGCUCUCUUCGGAGAGUGCAUAGAGUGGCGCACGGGUGAGUAACACGUAAGUAAUCUACCUUCGAGUGGGGAAUAACGUCCGGAAACGGACGCUAAUACCGCAUAAUGCAGCGGCAUCGCAAGAUGACAGUUGUUAAAGAUUUAUCGCUUGAAGAGGAGCUUGCGGCAGAUUAGCUAGUUGGUAAGGUAAUGGCUUACCAAGGCUACGAUCUGUAACCGGUCUAAGAGGACGGUCGGUCACACUGACACUGAAUAACGGGUCAGACUCCUACGGGAGGCAGCAGUCGGGAAUUUUGGGCAAUGGGCGAAAGCCUGACCCAGCAACGCCGCGUGAAGGAUGAAGUAUUUCGGUAUGUAAACUUCGAAAGAAUAGGAAGAAUUAAUGACGGUACUAUUUAUAAGGUCCGGCUAACUACGUGCCAGCAGCCGCGGUAAUACGUAGGGACCAAGCGUUGUUCGGAUUUACUGGGCGUAAAGGGCGCGUAGGCGGCAAUUCAAGUCAUCUGUGAAAUCUCCGGGCUUAACUCGGAACGGUCAGAUGAUACUGCUUUGCUAGAGUGCGGAAGGGGCAAUCAGAAUUCUUGGUGUAGCGGUGAAAUGCGUAGAUAUCAAGAGGAAUACCUGAGGUGAAGACGGGUUGCUAGGCCGACACUGACGCUGAAGCGCGAAAGCCAGGGGAGCAAACGGGAUUAGAUACCCCCGUAGUCC
rnacentral:rRNA from 1 species